rnacentral:lncRNA from 1 species
GGCCCACUCUGCUCUCCUCCCCGGGCACCCCCGCCUGCCACCCUGCAGGGCGCCCAGCACACAGUGAGUGCCGGGGGAGACUGUGGACUCCCGGCUUCCAGUCCUGGCACCCACCCUUCCCCGGGCGCUGAGUGUGUGAUUGGAGGCGAGUCCGGUCUGCAGAAGGGGUCUCUGAGCGGCCUUGGCGAAGCUCGCGCGCCGGGGCCGGCGUUGAGACAAAGCCGGCAGCUGCUGGGGGGGGGGGUGCCUUCAUGCUCCCCGAGCCCAGCCACGAGCGCCGGGGUCAGAUGGGGCCACAGAGAGGUGGUGGCCGGGCAGCCGUGUCUCGGGCUCCUCCCCCUGUGGUCCAGGCUCCCCAGUCUCUCGGCCGCUGCAGAUAGGUGGAGGUGGCGCUGUCUGCUCAGCGCUGUGAGAGCUUCAGGCCUUCGUCCUCACCCGGCCUGUGCCCAGGAACUGCCCCCAGGGGCACCCUCGAGGCCAGUGCCACAGUGGGAGAGGCAGCCAGACAGACGCCCGGAGGGGCCCAGUGGGGAGGGGCUGUGGGUCCCGCCUGGUCCCAAGCCCUGUCCCUUGAGGGCUGCCCGCGCCCCAGGAGAGCUGACGGGUGCCAGCUGUCCACGCACUCCCGGGCAGCGCCCGGUGCCCUGGGCCCUGCCACAGCCUGUGGGUCUUCUGUUCCCUGCUGGCAUCUCAGAGCCCAGGUCCGUGCUGCCCCACUGCAGCCCCUGUGCCCGCCCUGGUGCCUGGCACACAGCAGGGGCUCCGGGAUACCCCCCAGGCAGGGGUGUGGCUCCGACCCCUAAGAGAGGCCCCUCUGCGUGUGUUGGCCGCUGCCAUCCCGCCCCGCCCGCCGCACUCCAUCCCCGCACAGGAGCUCCGGGGAGCGGCCGUUUCCCGAGAUUGAAGGCAAAAUUGCUUGAAAGCCUGCGCUUUUAUCCACCAAUUUGUGGCCACUUAGCAGGGCCAGGCGGAGGGGAGCCGGGGCCCCGGCUGCGCUGUCGGUGCGGAGGCGCCCAGCGCAGCAAACGCUGCUUUGUCCUUCCCAGACGGCUCAGGACACAGGGCGGGCGUGAGCUGCGGGGUCCGGCCCCGUGGCGUGGGCCCGGAGGGUCGGACAACAGCCAGCCUGUGGCAGGAGCCACAGAGGUGAGGUGCAGGGGAGGCUGCCCACUGGACAGCGCCCAGCCCUGGGGCCUGGGGUUUGCAGGCCCCAGCAUCCCUGGGCUCGGUCCUCCCCCGGUCACCAAGGGGUGUCCGCACAAGAAGGCAGGGUCAGAAUCCCAGGGGGAGGCGGGAGAGCUGGGGUGGGGGCAGGGCUGGCCUCGGGAGGCAGGAAGUUCUGCGGGGAGUUUGGAGAAAGAAAGCACAGGGAGCUGCGGGGGCGGGAGGAGGAGGAGGACGGGUUUUGUGCUGAGCUGGCCUCACCGCUGA